CUGGUCCUCUUUGUUUUGCAGUUGUCGAGGCAGAUGAUUCUGAGGAUGAGGAGGAGGAGCUGGGAGGCCUGUUUCGAGUCAGCCGUCCUCAGAAGAGCAAAAAGUUUCAGGCCAAUGCUCGGGACAGCUCCUGUUUCUACCCCGACGCCUCCCACAACUGGGACUUGGAAGAGAUGCUGAACUCGAUCAGGGAUUGCUUUGUAACUGGAAAGUGGGAGGAAGGUCAAGAUGCAGCCACGCUGCUGAAGGAGGACGAGGAGCUUUAUGGUGACUUUGAAGAUCUGGAAACAGGAGAAGUCCACAAGGGCCAAACUGGACAGCAGGAUGAGGCUGAGAAUAGUGAGAGCGAUGACGACAA